rnacentral:rRNA from 1 species
GUAAGUUGUGGGAAGCAGGCGGGGUAGGAGUGGGGGUGCGGGCGGUGUUCGGAAUGAUUGGGGGUAAAGCGCUGGUAGGCGGGCUGUCAAGUCGCGUGUGAAAGCUCCAGGCUCAACCUGGAAAGUGCGCGCGAAACUGGCGGACUUGGAGUGUCGGAGAGGGUGGCGGAAUUCCCGGUGUAGAGGUGAAAUGCGUAGAUAUCGGGAGGAACACCAGAGGCGAAGGCGGCCACCUGGACGAGCACUGACGCUGAGAAGCGAAAGCGUGGGGAGCAAACAGGAUUAGAUACCCUUGUAGUC